UACGAAAGGUGCAAGCGUUAAUCGGAAUUACUGGGCGUAAAGCGCGCGUAGGCGGCUUGGUAAGUUGGAUGUGAAAGCCCCGGGCUCAACCUGGGAACUGCAUUUCGAACUGUCAAACUAGAGUAUCGGAGAGGUGGGCGGAACUACAAGUGUAGAGGUGAAAUUCGUAGAUAUUCGGAGGAACACCAGUGGCGAAGGCAGCUCACUAGGCCUGGAUUGACGCUCAGGGACGAAAGCGUGGGGAGCGAACAGG
rnacentral:rRNA from 1 species